CACCACCUCCAUGGCGUCCUGAUACCUGUGUUUGCUCCGCUUGCACCCAAGGCAAGGUACAUGUAAACAGAAUGGUGCCAGGCGUCCUGGCUGAGACAAGGAGGUUUCCCUUUGAAGUAGUCAAUGGUACCAAGCCUGCGGACUUAUUGCCUUUGUAAUUUUGAUCUCCACGUACUGUUCUCAAGAGAAAAAUAUCCUCUGGGGUCAAAACAGACACGUUAAAAUCAGACAAACAACCUGCCUUUGCAGGUUUCAUGUCACAGCAGUUAGGUCAAACUAAGAAGAGCUCUCUUCUGAAUUCCCAGUUCACCAGCGUUCCCGCCUCACAGAUUUGGAUUCUACCCGACCACAUUUCGUUUGCUCCCAUUAUCGAGCCUCCUGACCCCUCCAGCUAGCAGCAUUUACUAUUUGUGUUCUACAAUCGGCAGUGGGCAUGCGGCAUAUCCAGAAAUGCAUGUGCCGUCUAACUCAGAGAGCACCGUCCACAGCAGCAGCCCAUUUGGAAAGGUUCACCCAUCUGGCCAGAUGUCCCUCCUGGAGCGAGUCACCUUGCACUGCCUCCCCUUGUCCUCGGCAUCAUUUCCCUUCUGCACAGUUUGGCAGCCACAGGCUUGUAUCUCCUCCACAAAGCAUCUACACUGAAUCUUUGCAUUGGGCUUUGUUUUGGGGGAAUUUGUCUAAGUAAACAAAUAGUAGAAGCUUUAGACUGUUCCCUGGGUGCAGUUUUAGCAUUUGGAAAGUCAGAUCUUCUGUGAAGGUGCGCAUUCUAAGCGGAAUGUAUAGCUUCAACAUGUUAAUUAAAAGGCCGUAUUGUGCACACUUAGGCCCAACUCCUCCCUUUACCACUGUGUGAUCUUGUUGGUGACUUACUGCCUCACAGUGGCCCUCUCUCGCUUUCAGAUAGCAAGUGUCACUCAUCUGUGAUGGUCACUGUAAAGACUAAGAAGACAUUUCGUGUAAACUUACACGUCCCUGGGCUUCUCGGCACUAUUGACAUUUCAGGCUAGGCAUCUUACUGAUGAAGGAGACUGAUCUGUCUAAUACAGCAUGCUCAUAAACAUCGCUGACCUCUAAUUAUUGAUGCAAUAGCCUCUGCAAAGCUGGGACAAUCAAAACUGUUUACACACUGCCAAGUAUCUCUUGGAGACACAAUCGCCCCAAAUUGAGAAAAAUUAACUUGUUCUUAGCUGACAGCUGGUGCCAAAUGCUGAAUACGCGAGUAAGGCCUUCUGAGACCUUCCAGACAGUCAGUUUCCUGGCAGAAUGCAUGGGUGUGAAU